rnacentral:rRNA from 1 species
GCAUAACGCGAAGAACCUUACCCGGGCUUGAAAUGCGGCGGACCGGGCAGAGAGAUCUGCCUUCCCUUCGGGGCCGCCGUGUAGGUGCUGCAUGGUUGUCGUCAGCUCGUGCCGUGAGGUGUCGGCUUAAGUGCCAUAACGAGCGCAACCCUCAUCAUUAGUUACUAACAGGUCAUGCUGAGGACUCUAGUGAGACUGCCAUCGUAAGAUGCGAGGAAGGGUGGGGAUGACGUACAAAUCAGCACGGCCCUUACGUCCGGGGCGACACACGUGUUACAAUGGGUGGUACAAAGGGCAGCUACCUGGCGACAGGAUGCUAAUCUCCAAAACCACUCUCAGUUCGGAUCGGAGUCUGCAACUCGACUCCGUGAAGCUGGAUUCGCUAGUAAUCGCGCAUCAGCCACGGCGCGGUGAAUACGUUCCCGGGUCUUGUACACACCG